rnacentral:rRNA from 1 species
GACGAACGCUGGCGGCGUGCUUAACACAUGCAAGUCGAACGGAAAGGCCCUGCUUUUGUGGUGUGCUCGAGUGGCGAACGGGUGCGUAACACGUGAGUAUCCUGCCCUUGACUUUGGUAUAACUUCAGGAAACUGGAGCUACUACCGUAUAGGAUCUCCUGCUCCAUGGUGGGCGUUGGAAAGUUUCGGCUGUUGGGGAUGGACUCGCGGCUUAUCGGCUUGUUGGUUGGGUAGUUGCUUACCCAGGCUUGGACGGGUAGCCGGCCUGAGAGGGUGAACGGCGACAUGGGGACUGAGAGACGGAGCAGACGGGUACGGGAGGCAGUAGGGGGGAAUAUGGUACAAUGAGAGGAAGUCGGAUGAAGAAACGCUGCGGGCGGGAAGACGGUCUUCGGGGUGUGAACAGCUGUAGGCUGUGACGAAGCGGGAGUGACGGUAACGGGAAAAGAAGCACCGGCUAACUACGUG